rnacentral:tRNA from 4 species
GGGCGAGUAGCUCAACUGGCUAGAGCACCGGUCUCCAAAACCGGGGGUUAGGGGUUCGAUUCCUCUCUCGCCCG